GUCGUAACAAGGUUUCCGUAGGUGAACCUGCGGAAGGAUCAAUUAUACGAAAUUCACACACCAAACCCCAAACCGACGGUAGCCUCGGCUACUACGAUGAGAGCUUGCUUUCAUCGGUGCUCACCUUUUUUCCAACCUCAUUAUUUUUCAACAGAGAUUAACAUCACUUAACAACUUUUAGCGAUGGAUGUCUCGGCUCAGAAAACGAUGAAGGACGCCGCUAAAUGCGAUAAGCGCUGUGAAAGGCAGAUUUCCGUGAAUCAAUAGAAUGUUGAACGCAUACUGCACGCUCAGAGCUUCUCUGAGCGUAUGUCUAGUUCAGGGCUGUUAGCACCUCAUGUUGCCAAUGAUGCAGUAAUCUUUGCUGUUAGUUGGUAUACGUUCAUGUGCGCCAGUGACGUGGUUUCUUCGGAAGCGUACCGUUGGCGCAUUAAACUCAAUGGCUUUCACCGGUCAAUAACGAUCACGUCUCGUGUUAACUCCGGUUGCAUUGACUGGGUCGUUUGAUUGGUUGUCAUUCAAAGCUUUUUUUUCUUGGCAUGAACUUAGACAAGGCUACCCGCUGAAUUUAGGCAUAUAAGUAAGCGGAGGAAAAGAAAAUGAAUAUGAUUCCCUUAGUAAGGGCGACUGAACCGGGAAAAGCUCAAAAUGUAAAUCCGAAGCUCGCUUUGGAAUUGUAGUCUUGAGAGUCAUCACUAGUGUCGUCUCCUGAGUAACUGUUUUUGGAAAAAACGGUCAAAGAGGGUGAGAACCCCGUUCACUUGGAGAGUUCGGCGCGUCCGGUGUGGCUUCGUAGAGUCGCGUACUUUGGACGUGGUGCGCUAAAUGGGUGGUAAUUUUCAUCUAAAGCUAAAUAUUGUUCUGAGACCGAUAGCAAACAAGUACCGUGAGGGAAAGAUGAAAAGUACUUUGGAAAGAGAGUUAAAAGUGCCUGAAAUCGCUAAGAGGGAAGCGAAUGGAACCAGUUUCUCGGCCUGAGAUUGUUUUUGACUAAGGGGAAUUCAAGUUCCGCAAGGGCUAGAUCUGACCUGGACGUCAAGAGUGUUUCUCUGGUUAAGGUGUCAUCGUGCAUUGGGUGUUCGGAGAAGAUCGCUUGGUGAUCGGGUCUUCGCUUCGGUGUUGCUCGUUCCCGGGUUGAGAUCCUCACCCCGAUGUUUUUAGCGCGUUUGGUUUUCACUGCGGCAUAAUCUGGGUGAAGGUUCCGUGGCGUCCUGGAUGGCUCGGUUCUGAUCUCUUAUGAGUUGCAACAUUUCCAAUCCCUGACGAUGACUAAAUGGUUUUAUUCUACCCGUCUUGAAACACGGACCAAGGAGUCGACUUCUAUCGCGAGUGUGCGGGUGGCAAACCUGUACGCGGAAUGAAAGUAAUGGUUACGAAUUUUUACGCUGUAACGGCCGACUUCGAUCUAUUGAGAGAGGUUUGAGUUUUAGCGAUAAGGGUCGGACCCGAAAGAUGGUGAACUAUGCGUGAA
rnacentral:rRNA from 1 species